CAUCUUUGUCAUCAAAACAUCAAACAUGCUCCACUUCAGUCACUCUGUAACUGUGGUAGCCAAGGAAGGGUGUGUUUUUAACAAAAAAUAGCAAACAUUGUUUUUGAUAUGUUGCUGGAGCUGGAAUAAUUCAUUAAAGAGUGGACCUGUUGGCCUCAAACUCUUGCCCAGAUCAGUGUUAAGAGUGAUUUCAGAACAGCUGAUUGGCCCUGAAGUGUUCCAUUCUGUGGAGCAGUGAUUUCAAAUGUGGUAUGACUGCAUUUUCUUGAGAUGACUGGCCUUCAUCUGUCUCUUCCUCGGGACAACCAGAAGGCUUGAAAUGUAAAACUCAGACAGCCUUUUGAGAGCCUCUGUGCAGUAUGGAGUCCUUAAACUUUUGAAAGCAGUUGCAGGAAUUUGGAUUACUAUCUGGAACACUGGCAACACUUAAUAACCAGAAAAUGUCAAAAGAGAAUUUGGUGGUAGGCAAGUAGUAGUAUGUAGCAUGACUUUAGUUUCUCCUUUACUUUGAUAGUCCAUGAAAGGAACACUGUAUAAUCUUUCCAUCUUGUAAUUCUGUAUUUAUUUAUUUCAGAGGCUGUUUAACUAGAGGAAAUGUGUUCCUGACAGUGUUUCUAAACAGUAAUUUUUUUUAUAGACUCAACUCUCCUCAUGGAUUAAAUCUCUUACUAUCACAAACCAGGCUAAUUCUGUACCAAGAAGGUACUGUGUCAAACAUACCUGAAUUUCCCAGUGUAAAUGCAGCCAGGAGUCAGCUGCUUCUCAUGGCUUGCAAUUCGUCAACAUGGUUAAAUUAGGGGUUGACUCCUCUUUAUGCUGGUCUGAGGGUAGAGUUCAGUCUGUGUAGCUGGAAGUAUGAAAAAUGCCAAACUUUUUUUGACAAAAGCCAUCUCUAGUGCUGAGGUAUCUGCAUUCCUGCCUGGUAAAAAGGGAUGCACAGAGCUGGGUGUCCUUAAGAGGGCUCAAAUGGGAUAAAUAUGUAGUAUUUUGAGUCCGAAAUAGGUUGGGAUAUGCCAGAAAGGAUAUGUAUCUCCACAAGCCAUAGGAUUUUUAAAGAGAGCUGAUAUAGUGGAAAUAAUUUUCCUAAUUCACAAUGAAAAAGAAAAACGUUAAAUGUUAUUGGCAUAGAAUUUCUCUGGCAAGAGAGGGCUGCUGUCUCUAGUGGGAGAGAUAUUUCAAGGGAAAUCAACAU